GUUCCUAACUGACAGCAGCGAUUCCGUUCCUUCAUCGGAAUUAGCGAAUGGCGGGACUAAAA
rnacentral:sRNA from 1 species